rnacentral:rRNA from 1 species
AUUGAACGCUGGCGGCAGGCCUAACACAUGCAAGUCGAGCGAGCGGCGGACGGGUGAGUACUGUCUGGGAAACUGCCUGAUGGAGGGGGAUAACUACUGGAAACGGUAGCUAAUACCGCAUACCAUCAGAUGUGGCCAGAUGGGAUUAGCUAGUGGGUGGGGUAACGGCUCACCUAGGCGGCGAUCCCUAGCUGGUCUGAGAGGAGGACCAGCCACACUGGAACUGAGACACGGUCCAGACUCCUACGGGAGGCAGCAGUGGGGAAUAUUGCACAAUGGGCGCAAGCCUGAUGCAGCCAUGCCGCGUGUGUGAAGAAGGCCUUCGGGUUGUAAAGCACUGUCAGCGGGGAAGCGUUACCCGCAGAAGAAGCACCGGCUAACUCCGUGCCAGCAGCCGCGGUAAUUC